rnacentral:rRNA from 1 species
UACCAGCACCCCGAGUGGUCGGGACGAUUAUUGGGCCUAAAGCAUCCGUAGCCGGUCCUACAAGUCUUCCGUUAAAUCCACCUGCUUAACAGAUGGGCUGCGGAGGAUACUAUAGAGCUAGGAGGCGGGAGAGGCAAGCGGUACUUAGUGGGUAGGGGUAAAAUCCGUUGAUCCAUUGAAGACCACCAGUGGCGAAGGCGGCUUGCCAGAACGCACUCGACGGUGAGGGAUGAAAGCUGGGGGAGCAAACCGGG